AGUACAACGAAAUGACUAUUAAGGUGGAGAGUUGUUAUUAAUCUCACCCUUCUCUUCUUCGUCCUCUUCAUCCUCCUCUUCCUCUAGAUCAGCGUCAAUCCCUAUGUCUUAGAUAUCGAGGUCUGGAUGGAGGCAUCCAAUCUGCUUCUUGGAUAAGUCAAAACCCUCGCCAAAGUAUCUGAAAGCUGCUAGCUCAACAACUUCGUGGAAGUCAUCCGAGGACUUGUAUUCCUCGAUGACUGACUCCUUGGCGACGACUGACUACUUCUUUAGCUCAGCUAUCUCCUUUUCGAGCCUAGCCAUGGUGGCAUCGUUAUCCUCCUUCAUUCUCUUCAACUCUUCAACUUUCCAAUGGCAUGCCGCUUCUAGGCCCUGAGAUCGACCACUUGUUUCUCCAACUUUGCGGCCACUUGCUGAGCACGGGUCAUCUCGAUUUUGACCAAGGCAGCACGGGCCUGUUGGGUCAUCGCUUCUUCUCUCAUUUGCCUACCACGUCUGAUGAGGGAAGACUCGAGCACCACCGCCUAAAAAAGAAAGAGUGAAUUCUUCAGAGAAAUGAAAAUGCAAAAGUAUUAAACUUAAAUAUAAAAAUAAAUAAUUACCUGACCGACAACAUGGAAGAACUGUGAGAUUGCUCGAUUGAGGUCCAAUCUCCCCACCUCAUCCUUGUCGGCAAGCGAGAUUACCCCCUUAAAGAGUUUCUCCUCCACGACGGGAGGGAUUCCCCAGCAUGGAGACCUUGAUCCCCAAAACAACGCCAGGGUGGCCAUGGUUCCCUCCCCAGGAGCUACAAUAGGUAAAGCCCCCUUGCUCGUCGCCUUGCUUGAUGAUGCCCUAGGCUUGGCUAAGGCCUUGGUAGAGGACCCCUUUUUUUGUCCUCUAUUAGCGGCAUAACCCCCUUCUUUUUAGAGUUAGCUGAUGAUUUGCCCUUCUUCAAGGGCAAGAUGUUGGGCUUCUCGUCCUUUGGGCGUUUCUCGCCAAUGACGAUCUCCUUUGAUGCUGGGGUCGUGCUCUUCGGCUUUGCUCCUUACGCCCUUUGGGCAAGCUUCUUGAGGCUGAUUCUUUUUGAUAUAGCUGCAAAAGAAAACUAAUGUCAGUUAAUGGAAAAGGUAAAAUACUUGAAGAAGAAAGAAGGCAGUACCAUCUGAUUUGAGCUCGGGGGCAACCAUGGUUCUAACCAGGCCUCCGACUAGAGCUCGAGCUUGAGCUUGAGCUACUUGGUUCCCAACUAAGGAAAGAGGGUCGAAGAUUUGCCCCAAGAAGUGUUAGCAGUAUCCUAUCAGGAAGACACGAUAAAACUCUUAUAUGCCUCUUCCUGAUGAUCCCUAGGUAUUCUACUGAGUCAUCUCGGGAAUUGUCACCUUGGCGAGGAUUGUCUCGGGAAUGAUGGGACUCACCCUCAUCGCCCGUAACUAGAGCUGCAUUGCCUACCUUUAUAUCCUCGGCACUGUCCAUGCCACUGGACGCCAUUGAUUUGGAGGCGAGUCCGAAGCUCCUAAGGAAGGACUUAGUGUCGAGAACUUCCUUGAUUGUAAAGAAGUCCCCUCCAUUAGUGAGUCCAAGAUCCCACUUAUUAGUCAGUCCUAGACAAGACAAGCGGUUUGUUGUCGCGCUUACCUAAAAAUGGUAGAACACUUAUUAGUCAAGGGAAAAGUGCGACACUUGAUAACUAAAAGAACGACUUAAUGGAUAAAGAUUGACCUGGGGUGCCCUACAACCUCGAGAUCCUUGGACCCCCAGCGUACCUAGAGAUCCCCGGGGAGAACUCCCAGUCCUCUCCUGAGAUGAAAAAGAUUUUCUUCUUCCAUCCCUUGACAUUUCUAGGGUACCCCCGAGUAGAGCCAUCUAGAGUCUAGCUUCGGGGUUUUAUACAGGCUGAACAGGCUCUUGAACUCGUUGAGGAAAAGGGCGAAGUUAUGAGCUUGCCAUAGUACCAUCAUGUAGAUGACACUUUGCCACGCAUUGGGAAUGAGCUCGGCAAGGCAGAUGUUAUAGAAGUACAAGAUCUUCCUAAUAGUGGGAUGGAUUGGAAGACAAAGACUGGCUUGAAAAGUGGCCUCAUAAAAGGCCAUCCCGCCCAGGUGAGUAGACUCUAUGGUCUCGUCCACCUCGAGUAACCUGAUGUGAAUGCCUAACGGAAUGGAACAUGACUCUAAGGCGAUGCAGCUCGUCUUGAGUCAUGGUAUUAGUUUCUCUCUCAAUUUGAGGUGGAGUAACAGGUGAGGGACUACCCUCAGGACUAGGGUUCCUCCCUAGGGGAGGAAGGAAGUGUAUUAACCUCGUCGGUCAUAUAUGACUUUUCUCCUAGGUGAUCGAAAAUCUAGGAGGGUAGAAAGUUUUCUAAAUUUUCUACGUCGCCGUUACCGGACAUAAAAUACAGACUAAAGAUUAAAAGUGGAUGGCUAAUACUUACUGAAUGACUUAGAUGAUGGCGAGAUGGCAAGCUGACAAGGGCGAGGUUCACGUUGGAGCGAAAGCAACACUUCAUUAUCACUGGCAA
rnacentral:lncRNA from 1 species